rnacentral:rRNA from 1 species
CUGUUUAGCAAAAACAUGUCUGUAUGAGAGUUAUAUAAAGUCUGGCCUGCCCAUUGGGGUACUAAAAGGCCGCGGUAUUGUGACCGUGCGAAGGUAGCAUAAUCAUUAGUCUUUUAAUUGGAGGCUGGUAUGAAUGGUCGGACGAGAAGUAAGCUGUCUUUAUCUCAUAGAUUGAAUUUAACUUUUAAGUGAAAAGGCUUAAAUGGGUUAGAGGGACGAUAAGACCCUAUAAAGUUUAUACAUGGAGUUAAUCAAGAGUGAUUUGGAAUAGUAAAGUUCAUUAUUAGCAAGAUGUUUAGUUGGGGUGACUAGAAUAUAAGUUAUGUAACUGUUUUUUGUUUUAAUCAGAGAUAUCUGUUUAUAUGAUCCCUUUUUAGGAUUAGAGAGUAAAUUACUUUAGGGAUAACAGCGUAAUUUUUUUUAAGAGUUCUUAUCGACAAAAGAGUUUGCGACCUCGAUGUUGAAUUAAAAAUUUCUUUGUGGCGUAGCAGUUACAAGAGAAGGUCUGUUCGACCUUUAAAUUUUUACAUGAUUUGAGUUCAGACCGGCGUGAG